rnacentral:rRNA from 1 species
CCUACGGGAGGCAGCAGUAGGGAAUCUUUCACAAUGGGCGAAAGCCUGAUGGAGCAACGCCGCGUGCAGGAUGACGGCCUUCGGGUUGGUAACUGCUUUUAUAAGCGAGAAAUAUGAUGGUAACUUAUGAAUAAGGAUCGUCUAACUACGUGCCAGCAGCCGCGGUCAUACGUAGGAUCCGAGCAUUAUCCGGAGUGACUGGGUGUAAAGAGUUGCGUAGGUGGCAUAAUAAGUAGCUAGUGAAAUCUGGUGGCUCAAACAUUCAGACUAUUAGCUAAACUGUUAAGCUCGAGACCGUUAGGGGUAACUGGAAUUCGUGGUGUAGGAGUGAAAUGCGUAGAUAUUAGAAAGAACUCCAAUAGCGUAGGCAGGUUACUGGGACGGUUCUGACACUAAGGCACGAAAGCGUAGGGAGCAAACGGGAUUAGAUACCCCUGUAGUC